GGGCACAUGGUGUAGUUGGUUUAUCACGCCCGCUUAGCAUAAGCUGUCUCAGCUAUACGUUAGUGCGGGAGGUGUUGGGUUCAAUUCCCAAUGUGUCCA
rnacentral:tRNA from 1 species